rnacentral:tRNA from 1 species
GCCGAGGUCGCAUAACCUGGUAUUGCGUUAGCCUGCUAAGCUAAUUUCCUUCGGGAUCUCUGGGUUCAAAACGUACCGCAAGCUGCUGCUUCGGCAGUGGUUUGCGGAGUGAUAGUCCCAGCCUCGGCG